rnacentral:rRNA from 1 species
UACGGAGGGUGCAAGCGUUAAUCGGAAUUACUGGGCGUAGAGCGCACGCAGGUGGCUGAGUCAGUCGAUUGUGAAAGCCCUGGGCUUAACCUGGGAAUUGCAGUCGAUACUACUCAGCUAGAGUAUGGGAGAGGGUAGUGGAAUUCCCGGUGUAGCGGUGAAAUGCGUAGAUAUCGGGAGGAACAUCAGUGGCGAAGGCGGCUACCUGGCCCAAUACUGACACUCAGGUGCGACAGCGUGGGGAGCAAACAGG